GGGAAGCAAAUUUUUUGUUCAAAUUCAAUUUCUUCUACCACUCCAAACACACCUUAGGACUCCACCAACCAAAAUCAUGAAAAUCUUCUAAAUUACCUAAUCAUCUGCUUAGAUUUGAAUUGCAGCGGUACAAGUACAACAUAAGAAAGUGUGUGGGUGUGUGUGAUUUGAGAUAUUGUACGACAAAGAGGUACAAGGAGCUGUCGGCCUUGUUUGUGAGUGAGUGAGUGAGUGAGCGAGCGAGCGAGCGAGUGACUUGAGUCGGAGUGCGAGUUCGAAAAGAAAAUCCUAACCGUCAAAUAAUUUUUUUUUUAAAAAAAAAAAGAGUCAGUGGGGGCAUCAACUGACAUCUCACACACAAAUCAUCACCAUCCACGUCUACGUACCUGUAAGUGGCAUCUCCAUUACAGUCUGGCCUUUUUUGGGGGUACGUUGCCACCGACACUUACGGGUCCCACGUGUCACCCUCAUUCAAAAAAUAAGUAAAACAAGAAAUAAUUAUUAUAUUAAUAAAGGCAGGAGGGAGAAAAAGAAAGGGCGUGCAAGCAUCAGCAUAUGAACAUGAGCGGGGAGGAAAUGAAGCGGACAUGAGAAAAGGACAUAGUUUGUUGUCUAAAAUAUACAACAACAACCAAUUUUUUGGUGGAUACAGGUGGGCCUUUAAUAUAGCCAGAUUUUGCUUCUAUACUUUCAAUCUCUCAUUUUCUAGAAUGCUUUCACUUUUUUCUUAAUUUAUACAGCUGGAUCUUACUAAUCCCUUCCCACCAACGGUUUGGAAAAUGAUUCUUAUUUUGUAUUUUUUUUUUAACGGUUUGGUCCUAUCUAAAAAAAAUACAAAAAUAAUAGGUAAUUCCUUGUAAUAUGUCAACUUGUUCAUAUGAUACAAUCAUGUAUUCAUUUUUGUUGGUUUAGUUUUUAUAAGAUUAUAUCUGUUUCUUGAAAACGUAUCAAUAUGAAGGAAAAUAAUUUUUUUAAAUUAUUAAAAAAAAAUCUCUCUAUUUAAAGAAUAUUCAAAGAAUUUUCUGAAUUAAACUUAUAUAAGUAUAAUAGGAUAUAAAAAAAAAUGUGAAUGAAGAUUGAAAAAACAAUGCAUAAAGAAGCAUGAGACAUGUGAGUAAAGUACAAAAAAAAACGAUGAAUAGGAAUAAAAAGUGUGAAUGACUCAUGCUAUAUGUAAAAGUUAAAUAAUAAAUAUUAAAACUUUGAUAUGAGACCUUUUUGGAUGUUAUAAAUUCCACCAUUUUCAUUGACAGUUUAGAGAAGCAUAGCAUUCUUUGCAUGGAGUACAAGCAACAUUAGUUAUAGAUUCUGCAAAGAAAUUGGCAUAUUUAUAUGAAUGAAUAUUGAUUGAAACUUAACUUUCCUUUUUGUUGUGCUAAGCACGAGGCAAAAUCAAACUAGAUACUGCUUUUAUUAAAGCUGAACCAAGGGGGGGGGGGGUCCCAAAUGUCCAUCUCAAAAUGGUGGGUGAUGGGUAAUAGGGUAUCAUAUUUUGAAUAACAGCCCAUUACAUGAUUGAGGUAGUUGAAAGUGUAUAUUAACACAUUACUAACAUUGUAUGAUACCUAACCUUCGGCUAAAUAUUUUACGCACACUCAAAUGAAGGUAGAUUUGAAAUUGGAUUUUUUUUUUUUUUUUUACUAGGACUAGGGAGCCUUAAAGAUUCAAUGCCUUUGGUCUCUCCAACUAAGCAUUGGGCCAUGCUUACAUGUACUUUGAAAUAGUCCUUUAGGCCAUUGAGCCCUAGUUCUCAAAAUCUUCAUCAUUACCAAAUCAAUUAGUCUAUUUAAAUAUAUACAAAUUAAAAAUAUAAUUAAGAUAUGACUCAUAUGAGGAACAUGAUAAAAAUAAAAAUAAAAAUAUUAUCAAAUAAUAAGAAUAAAAACAGGUAUAACAUUUUGGUAUUAGGUCUCUCCUACAAUUUUCUAACGUGUGAUCAACCCAAGGAGAGAGUUUGGUUUGGUGGGAUUUUCAAUCUAAAACUGUCAAUUUGCAAAUAAAAAUGAUGUGUGCUAUUAAUGACUACUCCAAUCUCUAUGAAAGAUGUAUAGAUGUGGAAAUUCUGUACUUGGAAAAGAGUAAAGAAUUUAGAAUUACCUUGAAGUAUGAGUUUCAAAGCUGUGGAAUAGAGGGUCCCAUGGCCAUUUUGGUUCCAAGGUGGCAUGAUUUUGUGGUCACUCUACCUGUGACAGAUAAAAUAUGCCCACAAAAGGCCAUUAUAUACACUGCCAUCACUGCAGAGCGCCUCUACCACUCAAUUCUCUGCUUCACAGUUCACACCACCAUCUUCCUAUCUUCAU
rnacentral:lncRNA from 1 species